ACGCACGCUGGCGGCGUGCUUAACACAUGCCAGUCGCACGCUGAAGCUCAGCUUUUGUUGGGUGGAUGAGUGGCGAACGGGUGAGUAACACGUGAGUAACCUGCCCCCUUCUUUGGGAUAACGCCCGGAAACGGGUGCUAAUACUGGAUAUUCACUGGUCUUCGCAUGGGGGUUGGUGGAAAGGGUUUUUCUGGUGGGGGAUGGGCUCGCGGCCUAUCAGCUUGUUGGUGGGGUGAUGGCCUACCAAGGCUUUGACGGGUAGCCGGCCUGAGAGGGUGACCGGUCACAUUGGGACUGAGAUACGGCCCAGACUCCUACGGGAGGCAGCAGUGGGGAAUAUUGCACAAUGGGCGCAAGCCUGAUGCAGCGACGCCGCGUGAGGGAUGGAGGCCUUCGGGUUGUGAACCUCUUUCGCUCAUGGUCAAGCCGCAACAAUGGUUGUGGUGAGGGUAGUGGGUAAAGAAGCGCCGGCUAACUACGUG
rnacentral:rRNA from 1 species